rnacentral:rRNA from 1 species
GAUGAACGCUGGCGGCGUGCCUAAUACAUGCAAGUCGAGCGAACAGACGAGGAGCUUGCUCCUCUGACGUUAGCGGCGGACGGGUGAGUAACACGUGGAUAACCUACCUAUAAGACUGGGAUAACUUCGGGAAACCGGAGCUAAUACCGGAUCAUAUAUUGAACCGCAUGGUUCAAUAGUGAAAGACGGUUUUGCUGUCACUUAUAGAUGUAUCCGCGCCGCAUUAGCUAGUUGGUAAGGUAACGGCUUUCCAAGGCGACGAUGCGUAGCCGACCUGAGAGGGUGAUCGGCCACACUGGAACUGAGACACGGUCCAGACUCCUACGGGAGGCAGCAGUAGGGAAUCUUCCGCAAUGGGCGAAAGCCUGACGGAGCAACGCCGCGUGAGUGAUGAAGGUCUUCGGAUCGUAAAACUCUGUUAUUUGGGAAGAACAAAUGUGUAAGUAACUAUGCACGUCUUGACGGUACCUAAUCAGAAAGCCACGGCUAACUACGUG